GACGAACGCUGGCGGCGUGCUUAACACAUGCAAGUCGAACGGAAAGGCCCUGCUUUUGUGGGGUGCUCGAGUGGCGAACGGGUGAGUAACACGUGAGUAACCUGCCCUUGACUUUGGGAUAACUUCAGGAAACUGGGGCUAAUACCGGAUAGGAGCUCCUGCUGCAUGGUGGGGGUUGGAAAGUUUCGGCGGUUGGGGAUGGACUCGCGGCUUAUCAGCUUUUUGGUGGGGUAGUGGCUUACCAAGGCUUUGACGGGUAGCCGGCCUGAGAGGGUGACCGGCCACAUUGGGACUGAGAGACGGCCCAGACGCCUACGGGAGGCAGCAGUGGGGAAUAUUGCGCAGUGGGCGGAAGCCUGAUGCAGCGACGCCGCGAGCGGGAUGACGGCCUUCGAGUUGUAAACCGCUUUCGCCUGUGACGAAGCGGGAGUGACGGUAAUGGGUAAAGAAGCACCGGCUAACUACGUG
rnacentral:rRNA from 1 species